UUUAAAAUCCUUAUAAAAGAGUGCUUAGGGGUGCCUCGGGAGUUUUACCAUCAUUUGGUUACCCUCUAUGUGCAUGCAAGUUGGGCUGCAAGGUUUUACAGGAUUUCUCCCUUUUUGGACUCAGCCAAAAAACAAGGUUUUGUCACCCAGAUUUCACACAGCCCUGAUUUGGAUCAUCUCUUUGAAGCAGCCUCAGUGCAGAACUCUGGCACUGUCCAAAGUUGUCAGCUAGAUCUCAGCUGGCUGGAGCGUCUUCCUCAUACCAGUGAGUUUCUUCUAAAAUCUCCUCUCUACAAAUGGGAGUGGGGGGCAAACUGUACCUCUCCCCCCAACGUGGUCCUGACAUCAGAGCACAAGUAAGCUUCAGAGCCUUCUGAUUGUCCUUGAAGAUAACAACUACUGUAAGUCAAAUAUACCUGUCCAACCUGGCUUUUUUGACAAAUAAAGAAGAUGUUUCUAAAUGGCAAGAUAUAAGCAAUGAUAAACUGCUUUUUGAUUUGUUUGCUCUAAACAUUUUAC